UUAAGAUGACUGGUCUGUAAUUUUUCCCUUUUUAUAGAUUGGCACUAUAUUUGCCCUUUCCAGUCUUCUAGGCCUAGGAUGUUAAGAUCCCUUGGAACUCCACAAGUUAAACAAGACCACAGCAGGGGAGUCUUAGCUUUCUGCUGGAAAAAACUGGAAAGAAUCUCACAAACUUAGCCUAUAAAACAUAAUACAUUAGGCCCAUUUGUUCACAUUUAAAAACUGUAGCAUGUGGUAGAUUAACAUUCAGUGUUCAUCCAUAUGCCGUAGUUACAAGUUGUGUCAUAGGAUAGUAUUCCUAAGGUCCUGUGGUUAAGUGAGGUUGAUUAUUCCUGGUUUAAGUCGCAAAAUCCUUGAUGUACCAAAUAGUAAGAGCAAAUUCUGAUCUGUGUCAUAGCAAUGUAAAUCCACAGUGUCAGCAUUCAUUUCUCAGCUUUAUAUAAAGAUAUGAUCAGAACCUAGCCCAGUAUAGUUAGCAUGGAAUGUAUUUUGUUCUUUUUAAAUUUCCCUUCAUAAGUCCCAUUUGAAUCUAUUCAGUGUCUUUUCUUGACUGUGUGUUCUUCAGUAGAUGCAAUAAAAGUCUGUUAGAGAUGCUUUUAUUUUUGGUAAUUACUUUUUUAGGAAGAGCAUUGAUGGAACAUAUAGAUCUUUACAUUGAACAUUGCCUCAGACAAAUGCAAUCUGAUGCCUGUGCAAGUGUCUUCCUAGUGUAUUCAUUAAAGUAGUUUGGAUAAAAAGAAUCUUUGAGGUGAUCUUUCUAAUGUAAAGGGACUAAGGCAAGGGCAAAUUGGAAUGUUUUCAGGUAGUCCUCAGAGCUCUUCCAUGCAGACAUCUCAAAACAAAACUCCGCUCUGGUGAAGUCCGUUGGACUUCAGAGAGUGAGUUUGUCUCAUUGUUUCCACAUUGUUAAGGAGGAAAAAUAUAUUUCCCUAUGACUAUGUUUAGGCUUUGUCUUGACGUGGCAUGGGUCAGAGCCCUGUCCUAAAAGGUGCAUCCAGCUGCCUGUUAAGUUCCGGAAGGCCACACUGUUGGAUGAUUUCCACAAAGAAGGUUUUCUUUAAAAUAGGCAUUAAAAAACUCCCUAAAACAGUAACCAGUUCAAACAACAUUCAGCUUGUACUCGAUACGCUUAUUAGACAGAAUUGUUUCUGCGUUAAAAAUGAAGUACACUAACCAAUAAUUAAAGAAACAAUGAUUCUUAAUCUCAUUUGUAAGCAAAAAUGGUUAACAGAACAAAAAAUAGACCCCAAAACCCACAAAAUACUCUGUUAUACUUACUUACUUUCCUCCUAACCUCUCCUGGAACCCUUUUUAUUCACAUUUGCGUCUAAACUUUGGCUCUGAUCCUGCAGACAUUUAGGAUAUUUCUACAUCGCAACUAAACACCUCCAGCUGGCCUAAGUCAGCUGAUUCUAAUUGUGGUUUAGACAUUCUGGCUUGGGCUCUGGGACCUUGUUAGCGGAAGGAUCCCUGAGCCCAGGCUCCAGCCCGAGCAUCUACACUGCAAUUAAACAGCCCCAUAGCUGAGCCCAACGAGCCGGAGUCAGCUGACACAGGCCAGUCAAGGGUGUUUAAUAGCAGUGUAGAUUUACCUAUAGGGUGGGACUUAAAUGGAGAACUUAGCCACUUUAAAGGGGGUGGGGGUGAAGAGAGAGACUCUAGCCCAGUGAUGAGGGCAGUCCCAUGUGAGACUCACAUUCCAGUCCUGCUGCUCCAAUGAAUAGUUAAUUAGUUUACACCAUGAAAUAGCCUCAGCAGGAGAGAUUGUGGGAGCCCUGUCCCAAAACAUCCUAUAGCCUGGUGGAUAAGGAAUGCCCGUGGGAGAGGGGAGACCAAAGUUCAAAUCCCUGCUGUGCAGCCAGUGGAGUGGGGGAAUUUGAACCUGAGUCUCCCUCAUACACAUCCUGGGUGUGUGCUUUAUCUAGAGAGCUAAAGGUUAGGGGUCAUGGUGUGCUCUGAGCGUGCCUACUGGUUUGGACCUUGAAUGCAAGAUAAAUGAGGUGUUCCCUGCCUGUGAAUUCUUCUGGGGCUUAGCUGUGGUACGAUUUAGACACCGAGCUGCUGGGUAGUGUCAGGACAUAAGGGGAGUGUGGGAGCUGCACACAUGCUAGAGGGCUGGGAUUUAGAGAGUGGAAACUUAGGGACCUACAGAGUUGGGUGGCAGAUGAGCAGGGAUUUUGUGAAUGUCACGUGUGCUGAAUUAUUUUGCUUCAGCACUGAAAGUUGCAGUCAGACACCUAAAUGAAUACCAUCUCUACGCACAUACUUAACUGGGUAUAUUUGGAGUCUUGGCAACUUGGAACAGAUGUUCAGGUUCAUGGCUGAACAUUGUCAGCUUGGAGCUUGUCUCUUGAACCACCUGGUACUCUAUUAGGUUAGUUUAAUCUGGAAUUUGUCUCUUGAAUGACCUUGUCACUUACUCCUAGGUUAGUUUAAUCUGGAAUUGAAUAGACUUGUUGUAAAUCAGUAAUCCGUGGAGGGGGUGGGGGAAUAUGGUGCAAAAAUAAUAAUUAAAAAAGCAAAAACACAUUGCUGGAACUCACUCUUCGUGAGACUUUAGUCUCGCAAAGAUCUCAGUGCUUAUAAAAAAUUGAAUUAAAGGCAUUUUUAUACAUGCAAAGUAUCAAAACAAUCUGAUUUUAUCAGUCCUGUGAGAGCUAUAUACAGAAGGCAGAAUCUGGAUCUCACCAAUGGGUUUUAUACAAGCUGUUCUUUCAAAAGCUUUUCAUUCUUUCCUUCACACUUGAACCAGUCCCACUUCCUAACCUCUGCUCUUCUCCCAGAUGAGCUAACAUUUUUAAUUGAAGUGAAAAAAAUAGCAUAAUGACAAGGUUAUUAGACUCACCUGGAGAAUUAACCAGUCACUUUUAAAAUGAGUAAGAAUUCAGUGCUGGUGAAAAGUGCAAAAAUUAAUAUCCCUAAAGAGCCUCAUCCACAGAACAGGUAUAAAUGAGCAGCUACUGCCGCUCAUAUUUUCCCUCACUGAUUUACCAAUGUCCUGCAGCUCUUACCUAGAAAGGCCGUUCCUGAAGCAAGAAGGGAAUUCACUCUCUGUUCCCAUUUGUAACUCAUCAGUCUUAUCCAAUGCCUCUGGAGACCAGUGGAAAUCUCUCUGCACUGGUGUCAAUGGGAGCUGGAUCAGGACCUCUGUUUUCUGUAGGGGGUGUCAUUUUUCCCCAGUGGGGCAAAUUAUACCCAUUUCCAUCUGCAUAAACUGAGGCACUCACUAAAUCAGUGGAAUUACUUCAGAUUUACACAAGUUUGUAAUGAUGUCUCUUAAUUAUGCUUUCCCUCUCUUCCCCCACAAUAGAACUCAUUUUUAUUAUUUUAUCAAAUAGAGCAUUGAGAGUCUGACUGCCCAUCAAAGAGCGUAAGCCUUGAGUUGCAGCUUCCGUGGUACGAUGUUCCUCAAAGAUUCGAGAGGAAGAUGUCAUUUCUCCUCAGAUGAGUGAGGAAUGCCAGCUCCAUUUCCCCAUUGCGGUCAAUGAUGUACGAGGAUGUCUCAGGCAUGAGAAAUCUACAAGCUAAGUGUUCAAUAGCUAUAGCAUCAGGCUUGCAUGCUGUGCUGCCAUACAUGGGGAAAAGGAGGAGGAGGAGAACUCUGGUGGGUGAUAACUGGCCUCUUUAUGGGCUCCCCCUGCUGUUCUAGAGUAGAGGGUAAGUCAGGCAGUGUGUAUCCUUGAGGCUCGGAAGGGAUUGGGGUCUUGGGUGUGGGGAUCCCUGGGGCAAAUUCAUUGCAAAUACAGAUCCCGGAAGAAUAAAGUUCCCUAGAAAGUGGGCUGGUAUUUAUAACAGUGGCAUGAGUCAUUUUCUUAGAUUAAAUCAGAUAUAGCAUUUCAUCCACUGACUCCAUUAAGUACAAUGGGCUUUUCAUGAUCUCUCAUGGUUGUACAACCAGCUUUAUUCCUUUCGGCACUCCAUCACUGUCCAGGCAACAAUUCCAGCCAAGCCAACCAUCAUCUGAUACACUUCCACAGCUGGACAGCUUCAAUGCAUGAUAAAAGAAAUCUGCUACUGUACUCCACACUCUGCUAGAGAAGCCAUCUUGAGGACAUCUCUGGUGCCUUGCACAUCCGACCAACACCGUUAUUCUACUCUGGGCAUGGACUAACUGAUUGUCAGCUUGAAAAAGCUAUUAAUUCUUCCUUGGAAAAGCUGCUCCCUUUGAUGGCUCCGUACUGUGUCAGUAGUUGAGAUGGGCCACUGCAGAGAUCCAAUCCAGGCUAGUCCUGGAAUUCCGAGUAAUUUCUUAGCAUUAAUUUCAUACAGUCAUUGAGACAAUCGAAGAAGAUAGCUUGUGAUGAGUGAGAGAGUGCUUUUCUUGAGGCCACGGGAAAACAGGGUGAAUGUCUCACUCCUGCUCCAGCUCAUUUAGGCCAGGGGAAAGAGCUAGAGCAGCAUAAAGGGGUCCUAAAAGGCUGUUUUCUGAGGACCACCUCACCAGCCCCAGGGCAUGGGGACUGGCCGGGUGAGACAGGGCCGCAGCACACAGCACUGUGGGAAUUCCAGGUAGUACAACAGAGCAGCUCAGGAUGGGAAGGGCACAAAGGUGGCUUAAAAUCGCUAUCGUGUCCCUUCCCCCUGGGAUGGGAGUUCCUUUCUGACACUCUUAGAGGUACAUCCCAGAAUCAAACCCCAGGUUACCCCCAUAUUUCUAGUACAAGAGGUUUCAUUACUGGAAACGGACUCCUUCCUUUGGUACCAUUGGGAGGGCAAGUUUUGAACCUUUGUGUUUCAUAACAUCUAUUCAUAGGACUGUUUCAUAUUUAGAUUUGGAUACUUGGGGCCCAAUCCCGCAUCCUUCAUUUACCAAGAAUAGUGUAUCCAGCGGGGAAGGCACGAGGAUGGGAGUCAGGAGUUCUGUUGAUGCCAUUCACUGCCUGUGUGACCUUGGACAAAUUACUUCUUUCCUUCUGUUUUCCCUCCCACCCCGAGUGUCUUGCCUAUUUAGGUUGCAAGCUCUUCAGGACAGCGAUAGGGGUAACACGAAUAGCUCCCCCAAAGCCAAUGGGACUAUUCGCCUGAGUUAGGAUUGCAGCAUUGGGCCAUAGUUCUAUUGUCUGGAUUUCAAGCAGUGAAUAGUUUAUAUCAGUUCCUGCUGUACAUUUCUUCCUCUCCCCUCCCUUAAACCUCAUCCUUUGAUUUUUCAGCUAACAAAUUAAACAAAUUCACUAGCCCUGAAUAAAGUGUUUACCUGUCAAUGAUUUACAUAUAAUGAAGUGCUUUGUUCUCUUACAGGUUUGAAGGAUUGUAUGUCGCCUGCACCUGACAGCCUGGAACAAUAUUUUCCUGUAAUAUAUUCUAUAGCUGCAAAUAUACGUUUUUAAACCUUUCAUCUUGCAAGCCUCCUUAUUGCGAUACUGAGAGAUUGGGAAACAGCCUUUGUCUAGUAACGGAGUCAAUAUUGAUUAUGGUCAUUAGAGAUCAAUGUAGUUUGUGUUAGCAGUGAUUUGAGAGGACCUUGUAAAUGAGCAAUGAAUACACGGCUUGGAUUCUAAUUAGAUUUUAAGGGCCUGAUCCCUACCAGUUGCUGAGCGUGCUCAAGCCCUCAUGAUGUCAGUAGGAUUUGAGCGCACUCAGCACUGUGCAGGAUUAAGCCUGCAGUGUUGUGGUCUGGCUGUGCAGUAAAUCUGCCCAUGGGGUCAUCACAUACGCUGGCAUUUUGCUUGUUCUCGAUAACUCUGUAGGCCUCAUUUACUUACAGAUUUCACUGCAGCCUAAGA